ACNCUCGACACCUACUGGAGGCAGCAGUGAGGAAUAUUGGUCAAUGGGCGCUAGCCUGAACCAGCCAAGUAGCGUGAAGGAUGAAGGCUCUAUGGGUCGUAAACUUCUUUUAUAUAAGAAUAAAGUGCAGUAUGUAUACUGUUUUGUAUGUAUUAUAUGAAUAAGGAUCGGCUAACUCCGUGUCAGCAGCCGCGGUAAUCUGAGCGGCUGGCAAGGC
rnacentral:rRNA from 1 species